AUCGCCUUAACCACUCGGCCACCUCGGACAACUCCAGCUGAUUGGCUGUUUCUCCUGAAAGGCGGAACUUUCUCCCUGAACCGGCUCUGUGAUUGGCGCUAAAAGAUUUCCCAUUAGUAGUACAGCUGAGCUGAGCGAAACGAUUUGCUCCUGGCGACGCUCUUCCACGAAGAGAGCUAACUAAGCGAGGCAUUUUAGGACGAGUCUGGCUCAGUUUGCUCAAAUUUCGGUUCCAUGAAAGAGGCUAGCCUUAAGCCUGGUUCAGUUACUGUAGCAACAUAUACGUUUGUACAAACCUGCUCUGUACCAGGCUAGAGUUGAUGCGUAGCUUAGCUGCAACGCUUCUAGUGGAGGAGCCGUGUGACGUCAUAGCCUUGCGGGUGGGAAACAAAAUCAAGGAACAAGGUUCCGCCAUGGUUUCAUCCAAUAAAUCGCAGUGGAUGCAGCAGAUCAUAUAAUAUGUCUAUAUACUUUAUUGAGUAUUGUACUGUAUUGGAAAUGUGUCUGCACAUUGCAAUUUAUUGGUUCAAUCUUAACAAAUUCAUGCCAGUGUAAAAUAAAAUACAGUAUUUAUUCGUUAUUUUCCACAAAGAUAUAUUUGCAUAAACUCUAUAUCACAAAAAUACAUUUAUUAGUAUUAAUGAUGCCCAGGUACUUUAGAUGAAGUUACUUUUAAAUAUAUUUGUAAUCUUGUAAUUCUUGUUCAGAUUCAUUCAAGUGUUUAUACAAAUGAUAUCAAUUCACAUAUAUGAUCAUAUUUGUAGCUCCCUUAGCUCCCCUCUUUCACGACACAAGUCAUUCUUUUGUUACAGGCAUUUAUUUGAGUAUGCCGUGAGAACUUGAAAAACAAAAAUACAAUAAAUAAGAUUAUUGGUUUACAAAAAAACAUAAUAAUCAUCAAAGAAUCACAUAAAAUUAUAUAAACUUACAAUUCACUGACGUUCUUAACAGUUAAACUUAAACAAUCAGCUUAUUGAACCUAUCUAGAGCUUUAUGUACAUCAUUUAACUGCACUGCCAUUAGCCUUUAGCUUGCCCACUAUGCUCAUUAUAAAGAAAAGAACAAAAAAAAAAAAAAAAAACAAAUUAAACCACUUGCUCACCUCAUUGGCCGCAUUUUUACAAUGGGGAAUCAAGGAAACUUUGUAAAAGUGGGUCCUCUCUGGCACUGACAUGCAGUAGCUUUAUUAAAACUUAUUUGCAGCUGAAACAUGUGCUCUCCUUCUUGUCUGCAGUGUGUUGCUCUAAUGACAAACCUCCUGCCCCCCUAGGACACAAACAUAGGUUCCCCUAUGAGAGCAUAAAAGAAGAUCUUAUAUAUAAUCUUAAACUUUCCCCCUUGAGCUUUUAAACAGAGAAUAACUUAGAAAAAUGUAAAGUAUCCUACUUUAACAGCAUUAAGUUCAAAAUUAACUUAAAAAUAACAACUGUCUCUAAAGGCAGUUACAAUAUUUGUUCAAUAUAAAUAAUAUAAAAUGUUUGAUUAACUUAACGAUGCAAAAGGUGAAUGGAUAUAGAUCAAAACUUGCAUACAGGUGAUAUACAUUAGCAAAAAAUGUAGGCUAUAAAAAGGGCGGCCAACAUUAAAGGCUGUAGGCAAUGACUGAUAAUGGCGCCCAUUUGAAGACAAUCCAGUAGAUGAGGGAGCGCGGGUAGUGCGCAGAGCUUUUAGGCUACCAGCUCCAAGGAGUUUUCUUCCUUUCAGUGUAAUUCUGUUUUUUCUUAAAUAAAGAGAGAGUAAAAAAUAUCCCAAAAAUAUAUAUAUAAAAAAAUUAUCUGGUGGUGUCUCUCCGUACUGUGUCGUGUGGUCUCGAGGAGAGCACUGAGUGGGCGGGGCCAGGCUGAGCCUACCUGAGAGAGAGGGGAGGGUGAGCUAUUCUGUGUGUCUGUACACUUACAGACAGAAAGACUUUGAUGAAUGCGCGGCAGUCAGUGCGUGUGGGAGAAAAAAAAAAGCUGGUUGGUAUCGAUAUUAUCAAUAUUUGGAUUGAUUUGCCCACCUCUAUUUUAGAAGUGAGCAGGAGAGUUGAGAAUGAGGUGGGGUGCUGACUAUCCAACAUCAUGACUCCACUAACACUCUUGCAGCACAGCAAUGAUCCAAAAGACUUCCCUGGACAGUAGAGACAGUUACUCCAACAAAGCAGAAUAAACUCUGACUCCAUAAACAGUGACUGAGCAGGUGUCCCAAUAUUGUGUGUAUGGUAUAUUGACUCUCUAAACUGUACAGAGAUCAGUGCAACAUUUAGAACAGGUAUACAGAAAAGUGACAUCACAACUCAAGAGCACAACAAAGAGAAAGUAAAACUGAAUGAAUCAGGAAGUUCAGCCAUCUUCACAGCAAGUUCUUCGUAGAAGUUCUUCCCAGAAACUCAAAGAGGAGGAAGAAAAUGGCAGAAUGUUCAGCAACCCUACAACAAAGAGAAACCAGUGAGAAAACUGAUGAACCAGAUAACGUUUCAGAAACAAACAGUGGUGCUGGAGCAGGAGCAGCAGAAGAAACAGGAGCAGCAGUGGCCAGUCCUGGCAGCUCUUCUGAAGAUGAGGUUAGAGAUGAGCAAAGACAAGAUCUAGAUGAACCUGGGGUUCUCUGUGAUAUUUGCAAUGGAGAAAAACUGAAAGCCCAGAUAUCCUGUCUGGAUUGUGGUCUGACUUACUGUAAAAUUAAUUUAGAGCCUCAUUAUAAUGUUUAAACUAAAAAAACACAAGCUGAUAAACCCAGUGAAGAACCUGGAGAAUUACAUCUGCCAGGAGCAUGAGAGACCUCUGGAGCAGUUUUGUAGAGAUGACCAGGCACGUCUGUGCCAAUUCUGCACAGAGCACAACACUCACAAUAUUGUUCAUAUAAAUAAAGUACGUAUGCAGAAAAGGUAAAAAAUAAAACUUAAACAUCCUUAUGGGGAGCCCAUAUUAAUUAAAGAGACCUUAAGCAAUCCAAACAUUUUGCUCUCUGCUUACAGACACAGUCGAAGUCUUUACUGCUCCGAUGCACUCCAUUGAAAAAUUGCAGGCUGAGCUGCUUGAGGUGAUGGAGGGGAAAAAAGCAGCAGAG